UCUUUUUCCUUAUUUAAUUUCGUAGGAAUUUGUUUCUAGUUAACAAUAACAUUAAGGGCAAAGUUUAAGCCCAAUUUCUAUGUUUGAAUAAAAAUUGUGAUUUCUUUAUGUUGAUUUUUAUGUUGCUUAUGUGAGAUUGCUUAAUUGAUUUUGGAUUAUGGAAAACUUUUAUAUGUAUGUGUUCUUUGAUGGCCAACUUAGGAUAUAUGCAUGUAAUUGGUGCUAGAUUUAAGUAGUAAAGGCUUUGGACAAAAGUCGAAAUCAAUUAAGGAGGAUUGCAAAUAGAUGGACUUUUUCAUACUAGGUUGUGCACUUUGGUUGACAUCCUUUCUUUGUUCUUCAUGCAUUGAAUGUGUUCUUGAUUAGCUAGUUUUCUAGACUAUGAUUGCAUGUUCAAUAGGUUUAAUUUAGGUGCUUUCACUUAGAUUAAAUAUUCAAGGAAAGUAAAAUAUGGGAAAUCAUUUGCUUCGAAUGUUUCACAUGGUCAAUUUAUUUCUCAUGACAUAGAUAAUCAACUAUAAGAAUUGUAAUUGGAUUUCAUUCAUAUGAUUGUAGUUUUGAUCUUUGUUUCUUGUGUUCCACCCUUGUAUAUGUGUUUUUACACUUUCUUUAUUUCAUUUAAUUUUAAUUCCAAUUCUAUAAUCUCAAAACCCCCCCCCUUUUUAUAUUAACUUGUAUAUAUUUUUAUUCUUUAUUUUAUUUUUGUACAUAAUACUUUUUACUUUAUUAUUUUAAUUCUUUAUUUGUUUUUGACAAUGACAGGUGUACCCUCAAUCCCCGGAAUAGAACGAUCCCUAUUUGCUUAUACUACUAACGAUGUUUUCAGGGUUAAAUUAUGCGCUUGCUUUGAGCGUAUCACAGCCCUCUUCCCAAACCCGAUCUGAACCCAGAGGCGCCGCCUCCGCCAUAUCCGCCAACGCCGAGGCCGCCUCCUUCAGCUCUCUUCUCAUGCACUACGAGACGCCGAGACGACGAGAAUGCGCUCACUCUCUCUCUCUCUCUCUCUUCUCACUUCACCUGCACGGCCGAGACUGCAAUUUCUCUCUUUCUCUCUCUCCUGUCACAUCACGCUUCAAAAGCCUUAGAACUGGUGGAUCUGGAGGUGUAUAAAGGUGGCUCUGGAAGUUUUUUGUUCAGUUCGAACUGAUUGUCUGGUGUUCUUCUUCGAAUUGGAGGUGGCUCUGGAGGUGUAAUAGUCUGAUUGGUUUUUUUGCUUAAGGUUUGCAGAGGACAUCUGCUGGUCUGGGCAGCGUGAGCUACUUUGUCUAUUCAAUUACUUUGUGAGGGAAUCAAGCUGAACUAGUAAGAGUAGUGAGCAAAACAUUUUAAUUUAAGUUGGGUUUACGGAUUAUCAAUUCACAAACUCAUUAAAGCUCUGUAAGUUGCAAGACUUGGUCCAUAAACUACACUCGGUUCAUUUUUCUUUUGAUUAUGGAUUUUAAAGUCAAGAAGCAAAUGGGUAUUAGUCGUAUUUCAGCUGUAAAAUUUGUUAUCUCUCCUAUUUUUUGCUCUUAAGGAAAAGAAGUUACAUAUUUAUGUCA